AGCGAACGCUGGCGGCAGGCCUAACACAUGCAAGUCGAACGGACCUUUCGGGGUUAGUGGCGGACGGGUGAGUAACACGUGGGAACGUGCCUUUAGGUUCGGAAUAGCUCCUGGAAACGGGUGGUAAUGCCGAAUGUGCCCUUCGGGGGAAAGAUUUAUCGCCUUUAGAGCGGCCCGCGUCUGAUUAGCUAGUUGGUGAGGUAAAGGCUCACCAAGGCGACGAUCAGUAGCUGGUCUGAGAGGAUGACCAGCCACAUUGGGACUGAGACACGGCCCAAACUCCUACGGGAGGCAGCAGUGGGGAAUCUUGCGCAAUGGGCGAAAGCCUGACGCAGCCAUGCCGCGUGGAUGAUGAAGGUCUUAGGAUUGUAAAAUCCUUUCACCGGUGAAGAUAAUGACUGUAGCCGGAGAAGAAGCCCCGGCUAACUUCGUGCCAGCCGCCGCGGUAACAC
rnacentral:rRNA from 1 species